rnacentral:rRNA from 1 species
UGGGGAAUAUUGGACAAUGGGGGCAACCCUGAUCCAGCAAUACCGCGUGAGUGAAGAAGGCCUUCGGGUUGUAAAGCUCUUUUACCGGGGAAGAUAAUGACGGUACCCGGGGAAUAAGCUCCGGCUAACUUCGUGCCAGCAGCCGCGGUAAUACGAAGGGAGCUAGCGUUGUUCGGAAUUACUGGGCGUAAAGGGCGCGUAGGCGGUUUUGUAAGUCAGAUGUGAAAGCCCCGGGCUCAACCUGGGAAUGGCAGUGGAAACUGGCGGGCUAGAGUACGGUAGAGGAUGGUGGAAUUCCCGGUGUAGCGGUGAAAUGCGUAGAGAUCGGGAGGAACACCAGUGGCGAAGGCGGCCAUCUGGACCAGUACUGACGCUGAGGCACGAAAGCGUGGGGAGCAAGCA